rnacentral:rRNA from 1 species
UAAGAGAGUUUGAUCCUGGCUCAGGAUGAACGCUGGCGGUAUGCCUAACACAUGCAAGUCGUACGAGAGUUUUUAACUCAAGUGGCGGACGGGUGAGUAACACGUGAGAAUUUGCCUUUAGGAGGGGGAUAACAGUGCGAAAGUGCUGCUAGUACCCCAUAUGCUUUCGAGUGAAAUGAAUUUAUUCGCCUAAAGAGAAGCUCGCGGCUGAUUAGCUUGUUGGUAAGGUAAUGGCUUACCAAGGCGACGAUCAGUAUCUGGUUUGAGAGGACGAUCAGACACACUGGAACUGAGACACGGUCCAGACUCCUACGGGAGGCAGCAGUGGGGAAUUUUCCGCAAUGGGCGAAAGCCUGACGGAGCAAUACCGCGUGAUGGAUGAAGGCUCGUGGGUCGUAAACAUCUUUUCCCAAGGAAGAAGUUCUGACGGUACUUGGGGAAUAAGCAUCGGCUAAUUCCGUGCCAGCAGCCGCGGUAAUACGGGAGGGGCAAGCGUUAUCCAAAAUGACUGGGCGUAAAGAGUCCGUAGACAGUACUGUAAGUUAUUUGUUAAAUCCUAAAGCUCAACUUUAGAAAAGCAUUUAAUACUACUUUACUUGAGUUUUGUUCAGAAGAGUAGAAUUCCAUGUUUAGGGAUAAUCCCCGUAGAUAUAUGGAGGAACACCAGUAGCGAAGGCGACUCUUUGGUAAAAACUGACGUUGAGGGACGAAAGUGUAGGGAGCAAACAGGAUUAGAUACCCUGGUAGUCUACACUGUAAAUUCUGAGUGCUGUAAUUCAGACCAUAAAUUUGUUGUUCUGGAUUUUUUAAGCUAACGCCAUAAGCACUCCGCCUGAGGAGUACGACCGCAAGGUUGGAACUCAAAAGAAUUGACGGGGGCCUACAACGAGUGGUGGAGCAUGUGGUUUAAUGCGAUAAUCCGCGCAAAACCUUACCAACCCUUGACAUAAAGAAAAAGAAAAUAUUUUACAUAUUUAAAAUAAUUUUUGAUUGAAUAAGAUAGUUUUAAUAUCUUUUAAUAAAUUUCUUUACAGGUGUUGCACGACUGUCGUCAGCUCGUGUCGUAAGAUAUUUGGUUUAUUCCUUUAACGAGCGUAACUCUUAUCUUUAAUCUUUACUUUUGUUUUCAGGAUUUGAAAAUAUAAGCUUUAAAGAGACUGUCAGUGAUAAACUGAAGGAAGUGAGAAUUAAGUCAAGUCCCUGUGGCCCUUAUGGGUUGGGCUACACACGUGCUACAAUGAAAAUCACAGAAAGUUACUUUAAUUUUUUGAUGUUUUGUUAAUCUUUAAAAAUUUUCGUAGUUCGAAUUAUAAGCUGCAACUCGCUUAUAUGAAGUUGGAAUCACUAGUAAUCGCAAAUCAGAAUGUUGCGGUGAAUAUGUAUCUUGGCCUUGUACACACCGCCCGUCACAUGCAGAGAGUUAGUUUUGCUUGAAGAUUUAAUUUCUUUAGCUUUAGGUGCGUUUCAAAAUUCAGCAUUUAAAGUUUAAAAAAUUUGAAUCCAUUGAGAGAUUGAUGAUUUGGAUGAAGUCGUAACAAGGUAGCUGUACGGG